rnacentral:rRNA from 1 species
CAUGACAGUCGAACGCCCCGCAAGGGGAGUGGCAGACGGGUGAGUAACGCGUGUGGAAUCUACCCUUUUCUACGGAACAACUGAGGGAAACUUCAGCUAAUACCGUAUACGGCCGAGAGGCGAAAGAUUUAUCGGAGAAGGAUGAGCCCGCGUUGGAUUAGCUAGUUGGUGGGGUAAAGGCCUACCAAGGCGACGAUCCAUAGCUGGUCUGAGAGGAUGAUCAGCCACACUGGGACUGAGACACGGCCCAGACUCCUACGGGAGGCAGCAGUGGGGAAUAUUGGACAAUGGGCGCAAGCCUGAUCCAGCCAUGCCGCGUGAGUGAUGAAGGCCCUAGGGUUGUAAAGCUCUUUCACCGGUGAAGAUAAUGACGGUAACCGGAGAAGAAGCCCCGGCUAACUUCGUGCCAGCAGCCGCAGUAAUACGAAGGGGGCUAGCGUUGUUCGGAUUUCUGGGCGUAAGCGCACGUGGCCGACUAUUAGUCAGGGGUGAAAUCCCGGGGCUCACCCCUGAACUGCCUUUGAACUGGUGUCUUGAGUUCGAGAGAUGUGAGUGGAUUCCGAGUGUGAGGUGAAUUCGUAUAUUUCUGAGGAACACCAGUGGCGAAGGUGCUCACUGGCUCGAUACUGACGCUAUGUGCAAAGCGUGGGAGCAACAGGAUAGAUCCCUGGUAUCCACCCGUAACUAUGCAGCUACCGUCUGCAGUAUACUGUUCGUGCUCGCUACGCAUAACUCUCACUGGGAGACGGCGCAGAUAAACUCAAUGAUUGCGGG